GUCAUUUGCUUUCUCGGGGCAUCGACCCUUUGGUUCGCAGGCCAGUGGUCAAUCCACUGAGCCACACCAGCCAGGGAUGUAAAUGCAUUGAUUUAUUCAACAAGUAUUAUCUUCACUUAGUAAGUGCUCCACUAUUCUGGGCAUUGGGGGUGCAGCAAAGGAGCGAAGUCCCAGUCCUCUGGGAGCUUACCUGCCCUCUCCCGCUGGGAAGACGGCCAAGCUGUCUCCUGGAGCCCUUCCUGAGCACACACACCCUUCCCAGUGCUUGGUGUCAGCAGCCGUUGGCAUCCGCACAAUUCUAUGGCGUAGAUAAGAUCAUCUCGAUUUUUCAGAUAAGGGAACCAGCUCAGAAAUGCCGGAGCAGGCGUGAGCUGCAGGCAGGACCCGUGGCGGCACCAGGCUCCGAGCGCCCGGCUCUCCUGCCUCUCUGCCGUUUUGCCAACACUCCACCUCCCUUAUUUCCACCUUCCUAAUUCUUUUGCUUUUCUAAUGAGUAUAAAGUGCUCUCUAAGAUGGUGUUUUAAUUUGCGUUUCUCUGAUAUAUAGUGAAUUAGAAUAUUUUAGGAAUCUGGGCUCUUCACUCUUAAUUUGCCUCUUGAAAUCAAACUAGAUCUAAACAGGUGGGGAAAAGUUUUAAGAAAGGAAUUGGCAGACACAUACAUGCCUUCCCCUCACGUUGCUACUUGGGGCUUGUGUUCUAGCAAGGGACACACAGAUCCCGGUGGAAUGUGCUUCCUGCCGACCACCUGGAGUCAAAGUUCAAGCCACCCACCAGCCAGCCACGUGAACUCUUGCAAAUUUCUAACCAUUCUGGGCCUCGAUUUCCUCCUCUGUGAAAUGGGGCAGCACCAGGGCCUGCUGCGUAGGCUUGCUGGAGAAGUAAAGCGUUUGGCACACAGAAGGCACCACCGCACAGUAGCUGUUAUUAUUAACCCUGCCAGUGCUCAGGAGAAAGGGAAAAGGAAUCAUGAUGCAGCCAUGGCAGAGAAUGGAGCAUUUUCCGGAGGGUGUCCCACCCGACCAGCGUGCAUAAUUUUAGUUCUUAGCUUAUUCUGAGGGGAAUUCUGCUAGACUAGCACGACCACAGGACCCAAAAGUUUACAGCAGAAGUAAAGCGUGUGACUGUCAACGUGAGUUCAUACAGGGCUCGGGCACCACUGGUCUCCCCCACCUGGCAGGUGGCAAUGAGGGUUUCUAGUGAGGUGCACACUCUCCUCAUGGUCCCAGGUCGGGGCAUUCAGACACAGGAGAAGGGGCCCAGGGGUCCCUGUGGGUCUCACAGUUGUCCUGGGGCCCUCAGGAGGAGUCUGACAGAGGCAAGGUGAAUACCAAACACAAGGGGUAAACCUGACAACCGGGAGCGUUGGAGGGGCUGGACCUUCCUCCCACAAAGCCCAGGCUUCGGUUGCUGGGACAUGAGAUCUCUUUAUCCCCUUCACAGGGCCCCCAGCUGGCCACUGAAACUGGAGUGGGAGCCUUUCACAGUGAGUGGGAGUCAUACGGUGCUGGAGUCUGACUGAGCUUGGUAACCUAAGGGUCUCUUCUUGAACCUGUUUCCGAGCAUCUGUCUCUCAGGGCUUCAUCACUUCUGUGUGUUACACACGGGUCCCUCUGGCGGCUGGUGACUCCUGGGGACCUCUUUUCAACGUGGCAUUUUAAAAUGUAUAUGACACAAUACGUGGGAUUACAAAAAAACACCUAAUUAUACCAACUGUCCGAAGUGUCCACUGACGAAUGACUAAAAAGGCAGCACAUGCAUGUCAUGAAAUAUUAUUCAGCCCCCAAAAAGGAGGAAAUAGUGACACCUGCUACAACAUGGAUGAACCUUGAGGACAUUACACUGCGUGAAAUGAGCCAGUCACGAGAGGACAAGUACUGUCCCCUUGGGAUCCCGCUGAUAUGAAUGAGGCGCCUACAGUAUUCAGAUCCAUGGUGACAGAAAGGACAGUGGUGGCUGCCAGGGGCUGGGGGGCAGAAGACGAGGGUUAGUGUUUAAUGGGACAGAGUUUCAGUUUUGUAAGAUGGAAAGAGUUCCGGAGACAGAUGGCUGCACGGCAGUGUGAGUGUCCUUAAUGCCACCGAAGUGUACACUUAAUAUGGUGAAGAGGGUAAAUUGUAUGUUAUGUGCAUUUUGCUACAAGUGAAAAUAUUUUUUUUUAAAAAAGCUACCUAACAGAAGUUGCAGCAAAACUCAUUUACCAAGAUGUUAAGCCAAGGUAUGAUAUGGCAACUUAAGCCCGGCUUUGUUAGGACCCAUAUGGCAACUGGUCAAUUCACCACCUUAAUUCAAAAGUAGUGAUGACAUUAAAAAAAUCUCAGGAGAGCUCUGUAACAAUCAUCAUGUGAUGCAAUACAUCUGGGGUUGCUGUUAGGGACAGAGUCACAAUGAUCCUGUGGCUUGUUGCCUGCAUUCAUAACAGGAGCACAUGUUAAAUUUCAGUGAGGAGUGUGUGAAAAUAAAGAUGUCGUUUCUCCUCAUCCAAGUUCAAGAGCGGCCCUGAAUUCUAUACCUGUGCCUUUAGGAUGGACGCUAGGUGCCGUGUGAGUCGUGGCUGACCAGUCGGGCAGUUUUUCUGCGAGCCCGGUAAAGGUUUGGUGAAAGUUGGUUUCCUCAUCUAGAAAGUGCAGAUGAUGGUGGCAGAUCACACUGAGCUGGGAGAGUUGAGUCUUGCAAGAUCGGCAACGGGAGUUGAUGUAUUUUAUUAAUCUUUGACCUCUAACUAUCAAAGGAACUCUGUGAGUGGGUGGGUGGUUUCUGCUUUUGAAAAACCGGCUGAGUGGGUAUAAGAGCCCUUAGCUUAAAAAGGAUUUCACAAUUUCUCAUUUGCAAGAGAGGGAGGGUGUUAAUAAAUAAAGCCACGGCGAAACUGCGCAGGGGCCGUGAGUCGGCCAGUUCCCAGGGCUUCCAAUCAAUUGAGUAAAAGCAAUUUUGAAAAUGCGAUUUUCCCAAAUGGAGAAACGAAAUUGGAGCUCAAGGGAAAGAUCCCAGUGAAACUGCUUUCUCUAAGGCUGUCCAAGACAGGAGUCCCUACUGUGUGUGCGUGUAAGGGUCUGUGCGGUGUGGGAGGGUAGGUGCGAGGGCAUAUUUGUACGGGUUUUUAUAGGGGUGUGUGUAGGAGUGUGUAGUUACGUGUGUAGGAGGAGUGGGGUUAAAGUCAUCAAAAAGGGGGUGAAAACCUGCUUUUCAAUCCCUGUUUCCUCUUCUUUUUAAAGAUUUGAUCAAGACUUCAGGGGCGGAGGCCCUGGCUGGUGGGGCUCAGUGGGUUGGGCACCAGACUGUGAACCAAAGAGUCGCCAGUUCAAUUCCCAGUCAGGGCACAUGCCUGGGUUGUGGGCCAGGUCCCCAGUAGGGGGCACACGAGAGGCAACCACACAUUGAUGUUUGUCUCCCUCCCUGCCUCCCUCUCUUCCCCUCUCUAAAAAUAAAUAAGUAAACUCUUUUUUUAAAAAAAGAGUUCAGGGGUGGUCCUUGCAGGUUCUCUGGGUCGGGUGAGUUGUGCCCUGGCCUCCGCAGUCCUGCUGAGGACUUCCGCAGAGGGCCUGCCCCCGGGCCCCUCCAGCACCCUCAGGAGUCCCUGUGAAGGUUCAACCAGCUGUGUGUUCCGCUCUUGUUUGCUUCAUUUGGAUGUCACAAGGGCCUCCUCUCUGUGCACGAACAGACCGUAGUGACGGCCAGGCUUCGCCCGCUGCACGGGCCUGAGUUCCAACCCCACGUCUCCUCAGGGGGCAGCGAGGGACUCGAGGAAAUGUCCAUGAACCGAGCAUUGAGUUAAAAAGACAACUAAUCUGAAGCCCAGGGAACAUGAGUUCCACACCGACAUCGCCUCCCCGAGAGCGGGGGAAGGGAGUUCCUGCUUGCGGCGGUCAGCCCGGCACAGAGUGGGCGCUCGAGGAAGGUCUGUUGAAGGCACGUGCACUGUAUUCCCCAGCACUAAGGGAACCCCCGCUCCUCUGCCCUGCGGUCCUUCAUUCAUUCAACAAACACACAUAAAGAGCUACCAUGUGCCCAGCACUCUGCGGGGAUUUCGAAGGGCCUUGAACUCUCAUGAUGGCAACUCUUUGGGGGAGGGGGAAGGCACACAUGCAGAUUAGAAAGAGUAGUUAGAAUCGCGAUGUAUCGCCUUUACUUGCACGGGGCACUACGAGCUGUGGGGCCCUGCGUCCUUGCCUGCCAGGGCGGGAGUUUCCUGGGGCUGCCGUGACAAAUGAGCACGCCCUGCGGGGCUCAGAUGACAGCAGUUUGUUCCCUCGCAGUUCUGGAGGCUAGAAGUUCAAGAGCAAGGUGUUGGCAGGGCAGCUUUCCUUGCGUCCUCUCUCCUUGGCUUGCAGACGCUGUCUUCUCCCCAUGCCUUCUCAUGCUCUUCCCUCUGCCUGCAGGUGUCCUAACUUCCUAACUCUCUCUUACACGGACCGGCCAGAUCCAGCCUUGCUUUGUGGCACCAAAACAUCAGAUGCUUCACAAAUAUCUAAGGGCAAGGCAGAGGCAGGUGGUGUUAGUCCUGGAAAGCUUGGAGAACAACCGCUUAGCUGAGUCUUGCAGAGCAAAGGAUCUAGCCUGGAGACAGCUGAUGGGGUUCAGAACACUCCACCCCCGAAUACGGCACCUUGGCACAGGGAUCAUUUUAAGCUGGAGGAGUUUGAGAUAAUGGCAGGAGCGGGGAGGCCUCUUGGACCUUCCCCUGAAGCAGGUCGUAGACGUUUCUGUGAGAGGGGCGUCCCGUCCUGGUUCCUGGAGGAAAGGAGCAGCCUCAUCUCCAAAGUGGAAUCUGAACGAACCCGCGUUCCCCACACUGACCCCGUGCCCUUGUCCGAUCACACUUUCCGCACUCAGAGCCCCGCAUAAAACGUGCAGCUCU